rnacentral:lncRNA from 1 species
UUUUUUCUUUAUUUUUUUUCCCAAGGAGAGGAGCCACUGGUGAGCAGACCUUUAAUUUAAUGUCUGUACAUCUGGCACUGCUCAUCUCUGCAUUCAUUUCUAUGUGUUUUGCUUCUCAAUCACAUUUCAGGCUGGAUUGGCCACCCGGGUUAGCCAGGCAGCAGGGAGGGCAGGGACAGCCAUGGCCCCAGAGUCCUGCCUGGGGACGCAUGAAAUUGUCAGCCUCCGCAGCCCCCGGGGAUCUGUCCUCUCUGCAUUCAGAGCAGUUUCCCCUCCUAAUGAGGUGGUGGCGGCCAGUAAUCAACUCACCACUAGCGCCUUCUCUGAACUAAGUAGGAUUAACGCCACACCAGCCUAGAACAUUGGUUGCCAAAAAGGGAAUAAUUUCGAGGUCAUAAAAAGAACUCUGAGGCUGAUUUUCUGAUUAUGAGAACUUCGUGUCAUGUUCCUCCUCUGCUACUGAGAUCCUCAGUUUGGAGAAGGGGAGGGGGAGGGGGAGGGGGAGGGGGAGGAAGGCAGGCUUCCGGUCUGUCUCAUCCACAGUGCUCCCACAUUGGGGCAGUGACAAGUGGCUGCUGCCAGGGGUGAGAAGUUGCCUCAUCUGGUUUAGUUCCUUGAAUGUCUAGUACACAGUAGGCAACAAAUACAUGCUGAAUGAUGUGAAGGUGGCCUAAGAGCUCCAAGAGGACUUCAUGGGGAUGCUGAACCCAUCCAUCCAUCCACACCCAUUCAUCCAUCCUCCCUCCAUCUGCUCAUCUGUGCACUCAAGAAAUACUCAUUGGGUGCCUUGUACAGAGGUUUUUCACCUGGAAUGCUAACCUCAACUUCAUUUUCACUAACCUUUCACUAAUAAAAGUUAACAUUUCUUCUCAUUGUAAAUGGAGGCAACGCGCCCCAGUAGCGUCAGCAGAACCUCUGACUUUGUAUGACGCUAACAGCGUUGCAGGUACUGGAAACAUGGUUUGCAGUCAUCCCUGCUUUGAAAUGAGGGCAAAUAAAGAUUUCACAUUUAUCGUUUUUCUAUAUCACAAAUUAAUACUUUAAAACUUGGGUAACUAUUUUAAUAGAACCGGUUUUCAUUUAAAUCCCAUGUAUUUUCUCUUAUGCUUUUAAAAACAGAUUUUCUGAAGAGGGGUCCUUAGGCCUCACCAGCCACCAGAGGGUUCUCUGACACUGGGAAGGUCCUAGGUCCACACCCUUGUAGGAGCCAGGCUCUGAGCUAUGUGCCAGGAGCCAUUAUACAGUAAAGUUAUGUUUCUUUCUGCCUGUUUGCUCACCUGGCAAAAAAAAAAAAAAAAAGUGUGUGUGGGGUGCUACUAGAUCUUCCCCAAAUUAGGAUGGUAUGCGGGCCAUGGCUUCAUCUAAAAUCUAGGUUAAUCAGCUUAAAUGAAAUUCGUGCUGGAGUCAAGGGGGAGCAUGUCAAAGACAGGGCGGUUUCCUUUAGACUGCAGCCUCCCCACAGCCCGGACGGCUUGCUGGAAAUGCAGAACCCCGGGCUCCCUCCAGACCUGACGGAUCCCUUUCGGCCUUCUCACAAGAAGCCCAGGCCACGUGUCUUCGCCGUCUGGUUUGGGAGUGGGUGGGAGUGGCGCCCCAGUGGCUGUGCGGCUAGGUCGGUGUGAGGCUCGCACUGAGAUUUCAAGGGACCGGCAUCUGGGCUGGUGUGCGCAGCCCCAGCGGCACCCUGGAGGAAAGCUGCCCUCUCCCUAAUUCAUCCAUCCACAUUUAUUGGUCCUGAUCGUGUGCCUGACCCGUCGUGCUAGGUGCCCGCUGUGACCCCACCCUUGUGAAGGACCUAGCGCCAGAGGGAGAGGCAAUAAACAAGUCAGCAACGGAGCUUCAGAACGGGCUGAGAGCUGGCAAGGUCACUCGCGGGAAACAGGGAACAGUAGAAUGGGAACUGGAGCGAUAUUUCAGCCGAGAACCAAGGGAGGGGGACUCCCGCCCAAGCCUCUGUGCCCAGCAGGGGCAGAAACGAGAUCCUGCAGUGCCCACGAGGACAGGGGCUGGGGAGGACCAGCGUGGGAAGGCCGACCCGAGGCCCGCCAGCCUUGUAAAGGCUGAAAAAAGAUGUCUCCAGCAGCGUGAACAGGGUGCGCAAAUGUCCUGAGGCACGUGGACCAGAGUGGGGAGGGGCAGUGAUGACAGCCGGACAGCCAGAGCCCUGGGCCGGCCCAGAUCUUGCAAAGCUGCGGGGCUGGGCUCCGAGCUCGCCCCCCGAGACCCCCGCUCCCCACUCACCAGUGCGCUCUGCAGCUGGUAGCCGGUGGGCCGGUAGUGCCGCCUCUCGGCCGGGUCGGUGUGGAUGUCCCCAGGUACAGCUCCUCCACCAACCGGGGCGCCGCCCGGGCUGCGGCUGCAGUCGGCGCUGCACGCGGACC